AACUUUUUUGCAAUGAUCAAAAAGAGAAAAUGUUUUAAAUGUUGUUUAAAAGUUCUAAUUCAGAAAAAAACAGUUUAGCACAGUUCAAAGCAGUUUACCAGUGGAUCCAUGUGUUCAGCUUGUUAUUGGUUGUGACUAGAUGACAGAGAUAGGAUUUCUGAAGGAUACAGCCAACAAUAGCUGAAAACAGUGGAAAGCUGGUAGACGUCUUUUCUGUAAAUAAAGCACUAUUUGUGAGUUACUUUUAUGUCAAUCACAUAAAGGUAAGCACAUUACAUGGUCUUUAAAGUCCAUAUUUUAAUU
rnacentral:lncRNA from 1 species